UAGGAACACUUUUACACUGUUGGUGGGACUGUAAACUAGUUCAACCAUUGUGGAAGUCAGUGUGGCGAUUCCUCAGGGAUCUAGAACUAGAAAUACCAUUUGACCCAGCCAUCCCAUUACUGGGUAUAUACCCAAAGGACUAUAAAUCAUGCUGCUAUAAAGACACAUGCACAGUUUUUCUUAUCCUAGACAGUUUUAAGAAGGACAGGCCUUGGCCGGGCGCGGUGGCUCACGCCUG
rnacentral:lncRNA from 10 species